rnacentral:rRNA from 1 species
UACGUAGGGGGCUAGCGUUGUCCGGAUUUAUUGGGCGUAAAGAGCGCGUAGGCGGCCGAGUAAGUCCGACGUGAAAUCUGGAGGCUCAACCUCCAGCGGUCGUUGGAAACUACUCGGCUAGAGUCCGGAAGAGGAGAGUGGAAUUCCUGGUGUAGCGGUGAAAUGCGCAGAUAUCAAGAGGAACACCUGAGGUGAAGACGGGUUGCUGGGCCAACACUGACGCUGAGGCGCGAAAGCCAGGGGAGCAAACGGG